CCUUACCAGGUCUUGACAUCCUCUGACAACCCUAGAGAUAGGGCUUUUCCUUCGGGGACAGAGUGACAGGUGGUGCAUGGUUGUCGUCAGCUCGUGUCGUGAGAUGUUGGGUUAAGUCCCGCAACGAGCGCAACCCUUGAUCUUAGUUGCCAUCAUUAAGUUGGGCACUCUAAGGUGACUGCCGGUGACAAACCGGAGGAAGGUGGGGAUGACGUCAAAUCAUCAUGCCCCUUAUGACCUGGGCUACACACGUGCUACAAUGGACAGAACAAAGAGCUGCAAGACCGCAAGGUGGAGCCAAUCUCAUAAAUCUGUUCUCAGUUCGGAUUGCAGUCUGCAACUCGCCUGCAUGAAGCUGGAAUCGCUAGUAAUCGCGGAUCAGCAUGCCGCGGUGAAUACGUUCCCGGGCCUUGUACACACCGCCCGUCACACCACGAGAGUUUGCAACACCCGAAGUCGGUGGGGUAACCUUUAUGGAGCCAGCCGCCGAAGGUGGGGCAGAUGAUGGGGUGAAGUCGAGCAGAGUCACGGUACUGACC
rnacentral:rRNA from 2 species